AAAGGAGAGAGUUUAAAACCGAUUAAAGCCAAGCCUCUGGCCUGGAAAAUUAUCUUUGGCUACAGUUGUGGGAUCAUCAUCUGGACCUUGCUGUGCUGACUAGCUGGUGUCUGUGGGGUAAAAGUGUGACUUUAUCUUAGUUGAAAGUUUUACAAACUUUUGGAGUUCAACAUCAGGAAGUUCUACCGUGUGGCUUGGAUAUGAAGAAUGUGCAAUGCAUCGCAUUGGAGAAAUGAAGGAACAGUGGGAAGAAAAGGAGGAGAAAGAAGAAUAACAUGUGGCUAAGAAAAGGAAACCUAUUUUGGCACUGUUUGAACCCUCUUUGUAGCUGCUUGUAUAUGUUAUAAAGAAAAAAUAUAUUAUUUUGAAUAACAAAGACAAACAGAGAGAGAGAGAGAGAGCUCUCACACCAAGAACCCUAGAAUAUUCAUGAUGCAUUGGUUCCACUUCAGAAAUAAGGCCAAAUAAUUCAGAAUUCCAAAAUCUGGAGAGAAAUUCAGAUGAAGAGAAUGUUGGAAACAUCAGCUAUUAAAGGCCAAAGAGGGCCAUCCCUUCCAAAGGCUGGGGAAGAAGUUACUGGCGUCACUUGACCUUACAAGGCACCAACCAGAAAGUAAUAACAAAGCCACUGGGUCUAUUUUCUCUUCAGCACUCAUGCAGUGUAGAUUCCAUUAAUGUCAAUAGGGGACUACAGACUUUCAUGGAAGGGAGUUUAUCCUCCAGUGUUGAAAGUGAUUGAUUACCAUUAGGACUUUGGGAA